ensembl:lncRNA
CCCAGAACUCCAUCCUCCUCAUCUGCCUUGGCAUACCAGCAGCAGGCACUGGAUGCUUUAACUUCUCCAUCAGUCAUAUACUUCCAGAUACCUGAAUUGGUCUGUUUUAAAGGAGGCUCUCUUCCCUUAAAACAGGCCACUUUAGGGAUCUUGUGUGUGUGUGUGUUCAAGGACAAACAGCUGGCAUGUGUGGUGGUGCAUUAGAAAUGGCCUUACGGUGACACUGGCCUCUUGGAUCUGCUGAGUUUGCCCUUGGGAUUGAGUCAGCGGGGUUGUGAGAGGUCAAUAUCAGUCUCCGUUCUGCGUCUCCAAUUACCACACAGUCAGCCUGGGGCUCAACCAGAGUAACAUGGAUGUUUAUACGCAUGAUAAUACAAUGUUCCAGGGAUACAUUAUAUUAAUUAUCGUAGAACAAAGAAACAGACACACACACAAACACACAUUCACACACAGUUGAAAAAAAUUAAUUGUUAUCAAAUCUGUCAGUUUUAUUUUUAUAUAAUUUGAAAUCUACAUUUCUGAGUGUAGCGAUGUCUGCUCUAAACACUAACAGGAAUGGUAUGGCUAAAUCCCAAAACACUAACAGUAAUGGUAUGGCUAAAUCCCAAAACACUAACAGGAAUGGUAUGGCUAAAUCCCAAAACACUAACAGUAAUGGUAUGGCUAAAUCCCAAAACACUAACAGUAAUGGUAUGGCUAAAUCUCAAAACACUAACAGGAAUGGUAUGGCUAAAUCCCAAAACACUAACAGUAAUGGUAUGGCUAAAUCCCAAAACACUAACAGUAAUGGUAUGGCUAAAUCUCAAAACACUAACAGUAAUGGUAUGGCUAAAUCCCAAAACACUAACAGUAAUGGUAUGGCUAAAUCCCAAAACACUAACAGUAAUGGUAUGGCUAAAUCCAAAACACUAACAGUAAUGGUAUGGCUAAAUCCCAAAACACUAACAGUAAUGGUAUGGCUAAAUCCAAAACACUAACAGUAAUGGUAUGGCUAAAUCCCAAAACACUAACAGUAUAUGUAUUUAUUGCAAUUCCCCACUGUGGGACUCAUGCUUGGUGCUGUCCCUUGUGAGUGAUUUCCCCAGUUUUGCCUCUGUGAGUGAAGCAGCCUCUGUGAGGGAAGCAGUCUGCAUGAGUGAAGCAGCCUGUGAAUGAUUUUACUCCCAGACAGCAUGGCUGGGUACUCAUCCAGGCAAGCCCAGGGGGACGAGGCAGAAAUAGCGGCACUGCUUCAGCUCAUUCAGGCCCUGGUAAACACUUUACCCCGACCAACAGUCAGACUGUCUCCAUCAAUCCAGACCCUUUAUAUGACCCCUAUAAUGAAAUGUCCUCUUCUUACCUUUCUGACCUUAUGUUAUCACAGUCUAUUCUCCUCUUCCUCUUGACUAAGUAAGUGUUUUUAUUGACGAGGUUGCCAUUGCCGUUGUGAUGGAAAUGGUAUUAUGUCUUUGAACAAAUAAGAGCUGACACUGAUGCCCUGAUGACACGGGACAUAUCUCCGUGUCUGUCUGUAUGCUGUGUCUCUGUCAAUCACAUUCUAACACUUAAUGUCAUCGUCGAUACCCAGAAUCAAAGGGGACAGCGUCAUUCCUGCGUAUCCAUGGAAGCCAUCCCCUAUAUCACGCAAAGGAUGUGUACGAGAUGUGAAUUCUCUCUCUCCCUCUAUUUGGGCCCUUGAAGUCUUGCCAGCUCCACUCAGACUGCAGUACAGGUCUACAGAGCAAGAGCAGAACGAAACACUCCUUUCAAGAGCCAGAAGAGCACUGGGACUGGCAGCACAAGGCCUUCUGAAUAAACUCUAUCACUCCUCUGGAUUCAUCAGGAAUAUUUCUGCCAACACAGUACUCACACAAGGGCACUUUAUGUCAUGAUGGUGAGGGGCAAUGUUGCCCAAGGUUUACUGGGGAUUUCUGUGUGCUGUGAUGGUUCAUGAGUCUUUUUAAUCAGGAGAGAGUAAGAUGAGACAUGCAGUCGUUUAUCCAUUUGCUUAAAUGACUGAAAUGAGCCAGACAAGGAUUUGAAUGAAGUUCUUCUCGUUCUGACAAGGAGAGCCCUGUCAGCCAGUACAGAUGUAUAGUUUAUCAGAGAGCUGUCUCCUGCCAGUAAAAAAUAAAUAACUCAAUGUGAUGUGUUAUCUAACCCAGCUGAGAGUCCUUUUGGGGUCUGGGCCUCUCGCUCCCUCUUAUCUGCAGGCCUGGUCAGGAUUGCCCCUAGCACUAUACACCUGAUUCCACUAAUCAAAGGUUUGAUGGUGAGUUGAUUAGUGGAAUUAGGUGUGUAAUGCUAGGGGGAAACCUAAAAUGUACGCGACCUUUCAAAAGUUUGGGGUCACUUGGAAAUGUCCUUGUUUUUGAAAGAAAAGCACAUUUAUUUGGUCCAUUAAAAUAACAUCAAAUUGAUCAUAAAUACAGUGUAGACAUUGUUAAUCUUGUAAAGGACUAUUGUAGUUGGAAAUGGCAGAUUUUUAAUGGAAUAUCUACAUAGGUGUACAGAGGCCCAUUAUCAGAAACCAUCACUCCUGCGUUCAAACGGCACGUUGUGUUAUCUAAUCCAAGUUUAUCAUUUUAAAAGGCUAAUUGACCAUUAGAAAACCCUUUUGCAAUUAUGUUGCACAGCUGAAAACGGUUGUGCUGAUUAAAUAACUAAUAAAACUGUCCUUCUUUAGACUAUUUGAGUAUCUGGAGCAUCAGCAUUUGUGGGUUUGAUUAGAGGCUCAAAAUGGCCAGAAACAAAGUACGUUCUUCUGAAACUGGUCAGUCUAUUCUUGUUCUGAGAAAUGAAGGCUAUUCCACUCGAGAAAUUGUCAAGAAAUUGAAGAUCUCGUACAACGCUGUGUACUACUCCCCUCACAGAACAGCACAAACUGUCCCUGUCACAUGAGUUGACGCUGGAGAGACGAAGCAGGUACGGGGAGUAACAUUUAAUAAAUAAUGGACAUAAAACAAGACAGGAAGAACGUCCUCAAACAGAAAACACAGACAAAAACAAUCAUUGCAGCAGCGGGGAACAGAGCAGGGAACUGACAAAUAUAGGGGAGGAAAUAAACAGGUGAUAAAUGAGUCCAGGUGAGUCCAAUAACGCUGAAGCGAGUGACGAGUGAGGGCAGGUGAGCGUGAUGGAGGGCAGGUGAGCGUGAUGGAGGGCAGGUGAGCGUGAUGGAGGGCAGGUGAGCGUGAUGGAUGGCAGGUGAGCGUGAUGGAGGGCAGGUGAGCGUGAUGGAGGGCAGGUGAGCGUGAUGGAGGGCAGGUGAGUGUGAUGGAGGGCAGGUGAGCGUGAUGGAGGGCAGGUGAGCGUGAUGGAGGGCAGGUGAGCGUGAGUGAGGGCAGGUGAGCGUGAUGGAUGGCAGGUGAGCGUGAUGGAGGGCAGGUGAGCGUGAUGGAGGGCAGGUGAGCGUGAGUGAGGGCAGGUGAGCGUGAUGGAUGGCAGGUGAGCGUGAUGGAGGGCAGGUGAGCGGCAUGGCGUGAUGGUGAGCGUGAUGCAAGGCAAUCUGGCGCCCUCAACUGCCAGGGGGAGGGAAGAGCGGGAGCAGAUGUGACAGUCUCUAACCAGAAUAGAAAGAGAAGUGACAACUGAGCGAGAGGACAAGCACAUUAGAGUGUCUAGUUUGAGAAACAGACGCCUCACAAAUCCUCGACUGGCAGCUUCAUUAAAUAGUACCCACAAAACACCAGUCUCAACAUUAACAGUGAAGAGACGAUUCCGGGAUGUUGGCCUUCUAGGCAGAGCUGCAAAGAAAAACAAGGACAUUUCUAAGUGACCCCAAACUUUUGAACAGUAGUUUAGGUCCACAGGACCAUGGGACCAUUAUUCUGAUUCAACUUUUUAAAGAAAUUUGCUCUUGUUAGUUGAGAGGGCUGGUUGUGUAUAAUGUGCUGUUGCUGAGGGCUGUUAGGUAUUAGACUCAGAGGUCUUUGUGUCUCUCUCUCUCCAGUCCAUUCUUUCUCCAGUCCAUUCUUUCUCCAGUCCAUUCUUUCUCCAGUCCAUUCUUUCUCCAAUCCAUUUUUUCUCCAGUCCAUUUUUUCUCCAGUCCAUUCUUUGUCCAGUCUUUUCUUUGUCCAGUCUUUUCUUUCCCCAGUCUUUUCUUUCUCCAGUCCAUUCUUUCUCCAGUCCAUUCUUUCUUUUUUCUUU